GGUCACGAUUUCUAGCGGUUAGGAUUUCCGGCUCUCACCCGGACGGCCCGGGUUCGACUCCCGGCGCGAGCA
rnacentral:tRNA from 1 species